AUGCCCCCUCACCUCGCCUGCCUCCCCGCAAGGCUCCCUGUGCUGUUUUCCUUGCUGGCCGUUCUGCUGCUUCUGUUGGUGGGGCUCUCGCUGCUGGCCUGGAGGAUCUGGCAGAGACGGCUCAAAGGUGGUGAUCCUUCAGGGCCCAGCCAGAACCCCAGGCAGGCCGGUGAGAGGUGGGAGCCUCAGUACGCAAACCUGCAGCUGCACACAUGGUCCCGGCGGGAAGGGCCGGUGACGCCGAGGCAGGUGGAGGUGGAGUACAGCACGGUGGCAGUCGCCAGGGAAGAUCUUCACUGUACCUCAGUGGUGUUUGAUUCGCAGAAGGAGGACUCUAACGCCAAUGGGGCUCCUCGCCAGGGACCCCAGAAGGAGGAACCAGAGUACAGUGUGGUCAAGAAGCCCGGGAACUGCCUUCUUGGCCCAUCUCCCCCUUAGCCUGCUCCCUCGUGGGGAGGGCCGUCCCUCCCGCACCCUAAGCCCAGCUGGCUUCCUCGAAGACAAGCAGGAACCAGGGAUCCGCGGGACCAGGGGGCCUCUCGUCUCUUUCCUCUAUGCCCUGCUGCUUCCCGGCCGUGCGUGGGGAUGACCCGGCUUCUCGGUCCCACGUGACUCUAGGAGUUGCCACGGCUCACAUCGACGACACCUACAGAGAGCUUUGUAAGUCACAGCCUGCUGGGCGAGGAGAGCUGAGAGCCAGCAAUGUUCCUGUGCAGAGGGUCACAGGGCGCCAUGCAAUGUCAUCUCCCUCCCCACCUCCCAGAUGAGGACACAGAGGCUCAAAGGAGAAAAGGCCGACCUGGGGCUCCAGGACUGGUGGCGAGAUUCUCUGGACUCUUAGGUUUAUUGUUCAAUCGAUGAGACAGAAAUAAAGUUUAAACUAUCUUCUUAAGGGAGAAGAAGAAAGUGACUGAAAUGACGCCUGCCGUGUCUGUGGCCCACAUUAAGGGGAGUACCUGGCUUUGAUGCCAGAGGAACUUUUUGUUUGUUUGAGACAGAAUCUCACCGUGUAGCUCAGGCUGGCUUCCCCCUCCCCCAGUACCAGGGACUGAACUCAGGACCUUGCAUUUGCCAGGCAGGCACGGCGCCACCAAGCUACAUCCCUGGCCCCAGCUCAGGCUGGUCUUGAACUCACCGCGUAGGCCAGGCCGGCCUCAAAUUCAUGACGAUCCUCCUGCCUCAGCCUCCAGUGCUAGGAUUACAAGUAUGCACCACCACACCCAGCUCACAGAGAAACUUCGAGAUGCAAGGGGGGGC
rnacentral:lncRNA from 1 species